GCGGAUAUGGCGGAAUUGGUAUACGCGUACGCUUGAGGUGCGUAUGUCAUUGACUUGCGAGUUCGAGUCUCGCUAUCCGCA
rnacentral:tRNA from 1 species